UACGUAGGGACCAAGCGUUGUUCGGAUUUACUGGGCGUAAAGGGUGCGUAGGCGGCGUGACAAGUCAGUUGUGAAAUCUCCGAGCUUAACUCGGAACGGUCAACUGAUACUGUCAUGCUAGAGUGCAGAAGGGGCAAUCGGAAUUCUUGGUGUAGCGGUGAAAUGCGUAGAUAUCAAGAGGAACACCUGAGGUGAAGACGGGUUGCUGGGCUGACACUGACGCUGAGCCGCGAAAGCCAGGGGAGCGAACGGG
rnacentral:rRNA from 1 species